GUAGCACCUAAUUUUGUUAUCGUCAUCCAACCACUUCUCAUGAGAUGCUCUCUGAUUAGCAGUCAAACGGGCUGGAAGAGGGGGAAGGUCCUAGUCAAGGAUAUAGGCCAAUUUCUUAGAACUCAAAAUAAUUUUCAAGUUCCAGAGUCAAUCCUUAAAAUUUGGUCCAAUCAACCUAUUGAUCUCAAAGAUUCUAGCUAG
rnacentral:lncRNA from 1 species